UUGUAACCCUAAACGCUUCGUCAUUUCUUCUGCAAAAUUCAGAAUAUGAGUGAACCGUCGAGUUCUCAUCUGCUCAUCGGAGCUUCUUCGUCAAUUCGCACCUUCGUUUCCUUUGAAGUUCGAAUUUUCUCUUUUCCGAUUUAGAUCGAAAGAUGCGGAAUCAUAUCUCAACUCGAUCAAAGACGCCAAAUCCUCUAUUUUCUGCGUUCGAUCGGGAUCGAGAUUGUUGAGGAUAGUACUAAACUUUAGGUUUCUACGAGGAUUGGAAGAUGCAGAGUACAUUGACGCCCCUCCAAAUCUAGAAGCUGUAAAUAACAGAAGAGAAGCUUAGAAGAAAGGAAAUGAUUUGCAAAAAGCAACUUGUAACUUUACUACUUUGAUUGGCCAAGGAGCAUUUGGACCUGUCUACAAAGCUCAAAUGUCUACCAGUGAGACGGUAGCUGUGAAAGUUCUUGCCACUUAUUCUACAGGCGAACAAAAGUUUCACACAAAAGCGAAAAACAUGAACCACUGAACUGGGAUUUGAGAGUAUAUAUUGCAUUACGCGGUCUAGAGUAUCUUCGUGAUGGGAAUGUUCCUCCUGUAAUCAACAGAGAUCAAAUCUUCCCAACAUUUUGUUGGAUCAAUCCAUGAGAGCUCGGGUUGUUGUCUUUGGACUAUUUAGAGGAACAUGCUGCUAACAUCAGAGGAGCAUUUGGUUAUCUCGAUCCCGAAUACGUUUCCACAAGAACAUAUACCAAGCAAAGAGAUGUUUAUGGCUCCUGGGUUUUACUCUUUGAGCUUAUAGCUGGAAGAAAUCCUCAACAAGGUCUAAUGGAAUUUGUUGAGCUGGUAGAUGUCAUGUGUGUAUGAUUUAUGUUUUGUAAGACAGAAUUACAAAGUUACAUUUUGUGUAUAAAGAUAUGAAUUUGAUCAAUGUAAUGAUUCAUAUGGAUCAGCUUUUAGAAAUUUUAUCAAGUUACAUUUACGUUA